rnacentral:snRNA from 1 species
UUCUCCUUUCAGAUUUUCUAGAACAAUGGUGUAUUAUCUGCUCUUAUCAGUUUAAUCGCUGAUACAUCUUAGAUGUGAGGACCGACGCAUUAAACACAUUUUUGGUGCCAGGGGAGGGUCUUGGGGCUUGCUCCAGCCCCUCCAUGCAUUGGCUCAGUGUUACAGUGCCUCUGGGCCCAAAAAGACACAC